rnacentral:rRNA from 1 species
UUGUGAAAAGAACCUCAUUGCUUUGGCGGCUUUCGGCCGCCAAAGGACCUUCAAACUCCAGUCAGUAAACGCAGACGUCUGAUAAACAAGUUAAUAAACUAAAACUUUCAACAACGGAUCUCUUGGUUCUGGCAUCGAUGAAGAACGCAGCGAAAUGCGAUAAGUAAUGUGAAUUGCAGAAUUCAGUGAAUCAUCGAAUCUUUGAACGCACAUUGCGCCCCUUGGUAUUCCGGGGGGCAUGCCUGUUCGAGCGUCAUUACAACCCUCAAGCUCUGCUUGGAAUUGGGCACCGUCCUCACUGCGGACGCGCCUCAAAGACCUCGGCGGUGGCUGUUCAGCCCUCAAGCGUAGUAGAAUACACCUCGCUUUGGAGCGGUUGGCGUCGCCCGCCGGACGAACCUUCUGAACUUUUCUCAAGGUUGACCUCGGAUCAGG